AUCCAGCUGACCAGUCUCAAAUAGGACGAAAUGCGCAUCCUGGAU
rnacentral:hammerhead_ribozyme from 1 species